rnacentral:rRNA from 1 species
CAGCCGCCACGGGAAUACGAAGGGUGCAAGCGUUACUCGGAAUUACUGGGCGUAAAGCGUGCGUAGGUGGUGGUUUAAGUCCGUUGUGAAAGCCCUGGGCUCAACCUGGGAAUUGCAGUGGAUACUGGGUCACUAGAGUGUGGUAGAGGAUAGUGGAAUUUCCGGUGUAGCAGUGAAAUGCGUAGAGAUCGGAAGGAACAUCUGUGGCGAAGGCGACUAUCUGGGCCAACACUGACACUGAGGCACGAAAGCGUGGGGAGCAAACAGGAUUAGAUACCCCUGUAGUCCCUGUCUCUUAUAA